rnacentral:rRNA from 1 species
CCUACGGGGGGCAGCAGUGGGGGAUAUUGCACAAUGGGGGGAACCCUGAUGCAGCGACGCCGCGUGAGCGAAGAAGUACCUCGGUAUGUAAAGCUCUAUCAGCAGGGAAGAUAAUGACGGUACCUGACCAAGAAGCCCCGGCUAACUACGUGCCAGCAGCCGCGGUAAUACGUAGGGGGCAAGCGUUAUCCGGAUUUACUGGGUGUAAAGGGAGCGUAGACGGCAGCACAAGUCUGGAGUGAAAUCCCGGGGCUUAACCCCGGAACUGCUUUGGAAACUGUGCGGCUGGAGUGCAGGAGGGGUAAGCGGAAUUCCUAGUGUAGCGGUGAAAUGCGUAGAUAUUAGGAGGAACACCGGUGGCGAAGGCGGCUUACUGGACUGUAACUGACGUUGAGGCUCGAAAGCGUGGGGAGCAAACAGGAUUAGAUACCCGUGUAGUC